UACAGAGGGUGCGAGCGUUGUCCGGAAUAACUGGGCGUAAAGGGCGCGUAGGCGGCUUGAUAAGGUUGCGGUGAAAGCCCGGGGCUCAACCCCGGGUCGGCCGUGGCAACUGUCGAGCUGGAGCACUGUAGAGGCAGGUGGAAUUCCGGGUGUAGCGGUGGAAUGCGUAGAGAUCCGGAAGAACACCGGUGGCGAAGGCGGCCUGCUGGGCAGUGGCUGACGCUGAGGCGCGACAGCGUGGGGAGCAAACAGG
rnacentral:rRNA from 1 species